UUUCUCCUAAUAUACCAAAUUCAAUAUUUGUGUUUCUUCAUUGCUUUGCAGAUACCUGAUGGAGCAUUAGUUGGCAAAAAGUAGAAUCCACAGCUCGAUUAUUUUUGGGGAUUUUUAUAUGUUUGGAGAAGGAAUUGAAUUUUCUAAUUCUCUGGUCUCUUAAUUUCCCUCAUUAUCGAUCUCUGCACUUUCCACUCCCUUAUUUUCAUUUUUUUCCGCCUACAAAAAGUACAGAAUUGAAGAUGAUUUUAAAUACGAUCUUUGUUGCUAUUCUGGACGAAUUCUGAAUUUGGUUUCAGAAUUUCAAAGAGAGAUUUGGUUUUCAAAGAGAAUUUGGGGUCACCAGAUUUGGUCUUCUUCAACUACAUUACACUGUUUUCUUUCCACCAACCCAAGCUAUUUGUGUUUGAUAAGUUGGAGAUGACUGCAAUAUUGAAGAUCAAGGAGACAAGUAAUCCUCCUAUUUGCUUGAGCGGAGGGAGGGAAAAAAAAAACAUGAAGGUCUAACUUGGGGAAUUGACAGCAAAGGGGUUUUGAGGUGUUGAAUAGCUCUUCAGUCUUGCGAAAUAAAUUGGUGGCAUAAAAAAAUCUCUGCUAGACCGCAAGGCUGGGACGCGCCGCCGCUGACAAGAAGAGGAGUUCAUUGUGACGGUGACGAAGAACAAGAAUCGAAGAAGCUAAAUAAUGACGAUGAUGUUUGUAAUAAUGAUGAUAAAUAACAGCUCCAAGUAAUCUGGCUGGCUUAGAUCUGUUUAGCUAUGGAACCAACCCCUAAUCUGCGGAAAGAGGACAAGCUUCUGGAUGGGAGUACUAAGUAGCCCGGUUUGUUUGAGAGCUACUAGCAUGACAUGUAUCCUUCUUUUCUUUUUUGAGAUAUUGUUUUGGAUAUAAGGAAUUUUGUAAACUGGGAUGGCGAAUGUCAGCAAAAUGUUAUUAAUAUAUCCUUAGCCUUCCGACAUUAAUCUUAUUUUGAUUUGGUUUCUUAA